rnacentral:rRNA from 1 species
UACGUAGGCAGCAAGCGUUGUUCGGAGUUACUGGGCGUAAAGGGUGUGUAGGCGGUUGCUUAAGUUUGGUGUGAAAUCUCCCGGCUCAACUGGGAGGGUGCGCCGAAUACUGAGUGACUCGAGUGCGGGAGAGGAAAGUGGAAUUCCUGGUGUAGCGGUGAAAUGCGUAGAUAUCAGGAGGAACACCGGUGGUGUAGACGGCUUUCUGGACCGUAACCGACGCUGAAACACGAAAGCGUGGGUAGCAAACAGG